GACAGAGGUCCCAAGCGUUAGGCGGAAUCACUGGGCUUAAAGCGUGUGUAGGCGGACUUCUAAGUACCUUGUGAAAUCCCACGGCUCAACCGUGGAACUGCUUGGUAUACUGGUUGUCUUGGGCCAUCUAGGGGCUAGCGGAACAAACGGUGGAGCGGUGAAAUGCGUAGAUAUCGCUUGGAACGCCGAAGGUGAAAACAGGCUGCUGGGGUUGCGCCGACGCUGAGACACGAAAGCCAGGGGAGCAAACGGG
rnacentral:rRNA from 1 species